CGGGGAUUGUCAUCAGUAGUGUUUAGUGGCGGACGGGUGAGUAACACGUUGGUACCUGCCCUUUAGGUGGGGAAUAACUCGGCGAAAGUCGGGCUAAUACCGCAUGUGAUCCUUCGGGAUUAAAGCCUUCGGGGCGCUAAAGGAGGGGCCUGCGUCUGAUUAGCUUGUUGGUAAGGUAAUGGCUUACCAAGGCGAUGAUCAGUAGCUGGUUCGAGAGGAUGAUCAGCCACACUGGAACUGAGAUACGGUCCAGACUCCUACGGGAGGCAGCAGUAAGGAAUCUUCCGCAAUGGACGAAAGUCUGACGGAGCAACGCCGCGUGCAGGAUGAAGGCUUUCGGGUCGUAAACUGCUUUUGUAUGGGAAGAUUAUGACGGUACCAUACGAAUAAGGACCGGCUAACUACGUG
rnacentral:rRNA from 1 species